AUUGAACGCUGGCGGCAUGCCUUACACAUGCAAGUCGAACGGUAACGGGCCUUCGGGUGCCGACGAGUGGCGAACGGGUGAGUAAUGUAUCGGAACGUACCUUUCAGUGGGGGAUAACGUAGCGAAAGUUACGCUAAUACCGCAUAUUCUGUGCGCAGGAAAGCAGGGGAUCGCAAGACCUUGCGCUGAUUGAGCGGCCGAUAUCAGAUUAGCUAGUUGGUGAGGCAAAGGCUCACCAAGGCGACGAUCUGUAGCGGGUCUGAGAGGAUGAUCCGCCACACUGGAACUGAGACACGGUCCAGACUCCUACGGGAGGGAGCAGUGGGGAAUUUUGGACAAUGGGGGCAACCCUGAUCCAGCCAUGCCGCGUGAGUGAAGAAGGCCUUCGGGUUGUAAAGCUCUUUCGGCCGGGAAGAAAUCGUAUCAGCUAAUACCUGGUGCGGAUGACGGUACCGGCAUAAGAAGCACCGGCUAACUACGUGCCAGCCGCCGCAGUAAGAC
rnacentral:rRNA from 1 species